rnacentral:rRNA from 1 species
AUUGAACGCUGGCGGCAGGCCUAACACAUGCAAGUCGAACGGUAACAGGAAGCAGCUUGCUGCUUCGCUGACGAGUGGCGGACGGGUGAGUAAUGUCUGGGAAACUGCCUGAUGGAGGGGGAUAACUACUGGAAACGGUAGCUAAUACCGCAUAACGUCGCAAGACCAAAGAGGGGGACCUUCGGGCCUCUUGCCAUCGGAUGUGCCCAGAUGGGAUUAGCUAGUAGGUGGGGUAACGGCUCACCUAGGCGACGAUCCCUAGCUGGUCUGAGAGGAUGACCCGCCACACUGGAACUGAGACACGGUCCAGACUCCUACGGGAGGCAGAAGUGGGGAAUAUUGCACAAUGGGCGCAAGCCUGAUGCAGCCAUGCCGCGUGUAUGAAGAAGGCCUUCGGGUUGUAAAGUACUUUCAGCGGGGGGGAAGGCGGUGAGGUUAAUAACCUCGCCGAUUGACGUUACCCGCAGAAGAAGCACCGGCUAACUCCGUGCCAGCAGCCGCCGUAA